rnacentral:lncRNA from 1 species
GAUGAACAGGGCAAACUGACACUAAACCAGGCUGAGUGCUGCAAUUCAGCACUACUCCUCCCAUUCCCAGAAGGCUAGGUUCAUAAUGGUGGAGAUUCUCCCAAAUAUCUUCAUUCCAUCACAAGAACACUGCCAGGCUUUUGGCAGACUACAAAUACUUUUUCUUUUCUUUUCUUUUCUUUUCUUUUCUUUUCUUUUCUUUUCUUUUCUUUUCUUUUCUUUUCUUUUCUUUUCUUUUCUUUUCUUUUCCUUUUAAUUAGGGAAAAUGGUUUCAAGAGGAAGAUUUAAAAAUGUUAAUAAUGUGAACUCCUAAGAGGCAUAAUAAUAGAGACACUUAUUGGAUAUACUACCUUAAAAAGUAAACUUAGCAAAACAAAAUGUAACAAAUAAUGUAAUAAUUGCCAUCUUCCCCUGGCUAAACCAAAAUAUCUCUUGAACUUUUUUUAUCUCAACAUGGGCUUUUUUAUUUUCUCACUGAUAAUUUUUCUGGUUUUUAAUUUUUCUAUUCAGGAAUAAGUCUAACACGCCCAAUUACCAUCUCAAGGCUUCAUGGAUAUCACGUUACAUGGAAUGAAAAAACAGCUCUUGGGUCAAGACACAGUUACAGCAGGCUGCAGUCUUGGGUCCAGGUGUGCGGUUACCAUGGCUCUCGUGAUGCCCUGCGGUAGCACUUUCUGCAUCCUCAUCAGCGACAAGCGUUCCCUCACUCCGAGUCAGGCUGAAACACCGUGGUUCAAAAGGGGAGAGAAGAUGUGGGAACGGCCUUGUCGCUCUGGGCUGCGGAGAGCCCUGCAGAGCGCGUCUGGGACAUGGACAGCGAACCAGAAUCUCUAGAAGUCCAAUAGGAAGAAGAUACAAUAAGCCAAACCAAAACAAAGCUCCUUUUGUCUCAAUGAAGAUUCCUCUGAAGAAUACCCAACUGCAACUCAAGAAUAAAUGAGUUCAGUAAUGAGCA